GACCCUGGCUCAGAUUGAACGCUGGCGGCAUGCCUUACACAUGCAAGUCGAACGGUAACAGGUCUUCGGACGCUGACGAGUGGCGAACGGGUGAGUAAUACAUCGGAACGUGCCCCAGUCGUGGGGGGAUAACUACUCGAAAGAGUAGCUAAUACCGCAUACGAUCUGAGGAUGAAAGCGGGGGACCUUCGGGCCUCGCGCGAUUGGAGCGGCCGAUGGCAGAUUAGGUAGUUGGUGGGAUAAAAG
rnacentral:rRNA from 1 species